rnacentral:rRNA from 1 species
UACGGAGGGUGCAAACGUUGCUCGGAAUCAUUGGGCGUAAAGCGCACGUAGGCGGCUCGUUAAGUCGGAUGUGAAAGCCCCGGGCUCAACCCGGGAAGUGCAUUCGAAACUGGCGAGCUUGAGUAUGGAAGAGGGUCGCGGAAUUCCCGGUGUAGAGGUGAAAUUCGUAGAUAUCGGGAGGAACACCAGUGGCGAAGGCGGCGACCUGGGCCAAUACUGACGCUGAGGCGCGAAAGCGUGGGGAGCAAACAGG